GGUGGACUUGGCCAUAAGCUUCAUUGCGUAAUCCUGGAACAUUUUAUUGCGCGUGGGAACGAUGUGUACGUCAUGUACCGCAUCGGUUUUAACAAGGAUGGCCAUCGCCGUGACUGUUUGCGUCCGUGUGUCUUCCGACGAUCAAUAAAAAACGCUCGCCGCGAUUUAUUGAAAGCUCGAACGAGAACCUGCACUGAAUUACCGAACGGUCGACCGACGACGGAUUAAUUACACCCACUUUCACCCUGUCUCGCGGUAAUUAGAGUGUUCUCGUCGCAAAAUUCUUAUUCGAAGGGAAUUCCCGAUGGACCAAGUCCGAAUCAUCUAAACCGAUCGUAUUCGCGAGAGGGACGAGUAGCGAUCGGUUAAAAUCGAAUGCACGGAACGGUUCCAGUUGGCCAGUAGCUACCACCACUUUUGGGAUUAGCGGUGUUUGCAGGAAAAGAGUAUAAAAUGUGCCAGAACCACGGGGGAGAGAGGCGUGUAAUUACCACGAGUGGGCUAUCUACUUAUCUCCGGCUUUCGCGGUCGCUGAAGAGGACCAGCUUGAAGAAGAAAGUAUCUUUUUCGCGGGCAGAGGCCGGCCGUGAAAAGAGUUUACAACACGAACUACGAAAAUGUACGAGUUUCUUCUUGCUGCUAAUAAAAUUCAAUCAAUGCAAUACCGUAUUGGAUACUCGAUAAUACUUACAUACUAAAUUAUCAUGUGAUAUUACUGCUCCAACGCUAACUUAAAUACUAAAUUUUAAACUACAAAAUAUCCAAUUUUGUCUCCCAAGUACAAUUAACCCGGUAAAGAAAUAUGAAACUAACUACUCUAUGUACAUAAAUAGAAAUUAAUUAACGUGUAA